rnacentral:rRNA from 1 species
UACGGAGGAUCCAAGCGUUAUCCGGAAUUACUGGGCGUAAAGAGUUGCGUAGGUGGCAUAGUAAGUAGAUAGUGAAAGCGUGUGGCUCAACCAUAUACACAUUAUCUAAACUGCUAAGCUAGAGUAUAUGAGAGGUAGCUGGAAUUUCUAGUGUAGGAGUGAAAUCCGUAGAUAUUAGAAGGAACACCGAUGGCGUAGGCAGGCUACUGGCAUAUUACUGACACUAAGGCACGAAAGCGUGGGGAGCGAACAGGAUUAGAUACCCCUGUAGU